CCUGCACCAUCCUCGCUGUCACAGUGCCUGAUGCCCCAAAACUGGAAGUGUGCCUGCCAUUGCCUUUCCCUGCCUGGUUUCCAGCAGUCCCAUCACAUGGCUCCAAAAAACAGCAUCGGGGUUUUUUUCUAGAACCCAAAUUUAUAAACAAGGGGCAAUGUCCUCUGACAAGGAAAUGGACCUUGGCAAACGUGUGUCAGGAGAGGAUGACUUGGAGGUGUCCACCGUGUUUCUUACUGAAGAUGUCUAAAAGUCAAUUGGGGUCAAGGAACAAGCCUCUACUCACAUGCAUGUGGGCAAAUGAAGUCACAGAACAAAUAACCUACCCUGCAUCCAGGCACGGAGUCCAGGGACACCCCCUGCUGCUGCCUAAGAGAAAGUGGCCCAAGAAGCACUGGCCCGGUGCCUGCUGAUGCCAGGAGCCCUCUGCUACUGCCUGACACAAGCAUCCUGCGCUUCCCCCUCCCAGGCCCUCCCCGAAAGCGUGGGCCACAGGUACCACUCCCUAUGCCACUGAGCCCCACAUUUCCCAUCCCCCAAGCCACUCCCACCAGCCCCAGAGCUUUCCUACAUUUAUGAUUUGUCCAAAAAUGUGAUGCCCUUCAGCCCCCAGAAGGUCAUCCUCCAGGCUGUGAUCGUCACACAGGGGGUCCCACAUGGGGUCCUCACAGGCCUUCAACCCAGCACAAAUCGUGGCCUGGUUUGACCUUUGAAAUAUCUCAACAUCUAAAAUUCAGAGCUUUUUUGGAAUAUUUAUUUUCCAUAGAUAUAAUUCUUUCAAAUAAAUUCCUUAGAAAACAA
rnacentral:lncRNA from 1 species